UUGAAUGGCGUCGGGGUUGGAGGGUUGGAAGGUCGGGAAGUGAAGGACUCGCAGGCAUAUUUAACAACGCAAAGUUGCUAGGAGUUGGUACCAGCGUUUGGGAGGUAGAGGUGGCGCUCAUGCAUAUUUGAGACAACAUCUGGAUGGUUGGGGAGAACGGUGAUGCCACACUCAAUCAGAAACUAUGCUACUGCUGAAGAGGUAUAUUGAGCCCUGCCUGGUUAACCUCCAGUGAGGUUAUUAGAGAAUUGGGAGAGGCUCAAAUCAGCAUCCUGCACCUAGUUAUCAAACCAUUGUGAAGUCUUGAUUCCUGGAUGGCCAGAAAACUUGUCAUUGGUCAAGAGCAACAUUAAGAUCUGCCUGUUACUCAUACUGAUGCUUCCUGCCCAGCAAGUUCAUCAGAGGGCGAGGAUGAAUUACGGUUGCCAUGAAUGUCCUUGUGAGGCAGUUGGGAAGCCUUGGCUGGAUUGUGAAGGAUAUUUGAAAAGUAUUUUAGAGUCCACCAGAUCAUCCAUGUGAGUGACCAUGCAGCAAAAGAAGGAGGGUCCUCUCAGUGAUUAAGGUGAUCUGGACAAAGGAACAGGUAUCUCAGAACAGUGGUUGGUAGGAUGGCGGAGACAUGGACUUCAGAGAGUUCUUGGUAGAAGACUCAAAGAGCCACCUGUCAUGAGACAUCCCACUUCCUUCCCCAGGUUACUUCCAAGACUGAGCAGCCAGGUUUUUGGUAGAUGAGAACAAAUGUUUCUUCCUGAAGCCCUGGGGCUUCAGGUAGGAAGAAGGACUGCUAUACUUGUUCUCACCCUUGGCUUCUGGCUGCUCCAGUUAAACAUGGUUCCCAUUGAUACAGACAUUAGAGUGGGAAAGGACUUCGUUCAUAGACCGAAGACCCUCAAAGGAAAGUCCUUCCAUUUUGGGAAGGGUGACAUUGAUUUCGUUUAGCUGCUUAAGAUAUGUACUUGCUGUUGUCUUGUGAGACAUGACAUCUGAAGCUGAAGAGGAGUCCCUCUCAUUGUUGUCAUUGUCCCACCGGGACUGAAAGUCUCCCAGUUGAGGCAGCAUUUUAGCUUUGAUGUCUACAGGGCAAUCAUGGAUCAGGAAAUUUCUGCAAAUUAGACUUGGAAAACAAGGUCUUGAUCCUUCUUGUCUUUGGACGAAGACUAAUCAUCACUUUUGACUGAAGGUGUAGUGCUGGAGACUAUGUUGGAGGCAGCACCUGAUGCACUAUCCAUAUUCUUCCCCUUGAUCUUGUCUUAAAGUUUUCCAAAUGGAUUCCGAGGCUUGUCUUUGAUGAAAAGGUCAAACAUACUGGCAGUCAUGUUGUUUCUCAUAAGCUGGAUGUCAACCUCAAUUUCUCCUCUUUAUCCUUCUCUCCUGGUUUGGAUUUCAAGGUAUACCACCGCAUCUUCCUGCUCCCCUAGUCUGGGUGCAGGUCCUGCAGGUACACCUCGGCGAAGCCCAAGUACAGUAGCAGCAGCACCUCAAAGGUGGCCUCCUCCUCUGACACUGAGGUGGCAUACUUCUCCUUACCCACCUGAAUCACCGAGUACAUGUUGCUUGUACCGUCAGGCUCUUGGUUCUUGGCCCCUGGCCCUAUGCCUGCAACACUGUCACCUGCACGUGGAUUGGGAACCACAUAGCCCCCGGACCUGCUAAGGCCAUUAAGGACAGGAUGGUGAUGCCUCGGCUGACUGACGUGAGAAGAUUGUCAUGACCCAUGGCCUCUACUGCUGUCCUACCAACAGAAACUUCAUAAUGUUGUGCAGGCGUUACCACUACCUAGUUCCAGAACAUUGCCAUCACCCCCAAAAUAAAUCUUGCAUUCAUUAAGCAG
ensembl:lncRNA FTX FTX transcript, XIST regulator